AUACCUUUCUCGGCCUUUUGGCUAAGAUCAAGUGUAGUAUCUGUUCUUAUCAGUUUAAUAUCUGAUACGUGGAUCAAUGGUUCACACGAUAUUAAAUUAAUUUUUUUGGGAGGAAGGUCUACCACGGUAGCUUGCUGCUGGGAUCUUUGCGUGUCGUCCGAGCGUUGCACUAUUGCUUGGGCAGGCGCACUCCAC